GAGGAGAGGGGAGGGUGAGGGAGAGGCAGAGGCAGAGGCAGAGGGAGAGGGAGAGGGAGAGGGGAAGAGAGAGGAUUGAUGACAAUGUUUGGGUCCUAGGAUGUACAUCUGAAGUUAGCAUGACCUAAUAUUAUGCUUUCUGUAUCACAACAUUAGUAAAACGAAUAUCGUCUUCCAAUUGUCCACAAAACUAGAGACCAUUCCAGAACUGAGACCAAAUAUUAUGUUUAUUAAUUGCAGCUUAAGACAGUAAAUUACAGUGUAAUGGUCUUAAUUACUAAUUCAUUAUUAAUUAGUUUAAUAGCUUUUCUUCCUAGGCACAAGAACAUCAAAGCAUAAAUUCUUCCAGUAUCAGCAAUGACAUCACUUAAGAGUCUCUCAGAAUCUUAGGCACCACCCCAGGCCUACUGGAUUAGAAUCUGAAUUUUUAAACAAGAUCUCAGGUAACUUGCAUGCAUAUUAAAGUUUGAGAAGUGCUGCCCUAGCUGCCUUAGACAUUAGUGCUCAUUACUCUGAUCUACAUCUCCGGAAUUUAAGAGAUCUUCUGUGAAUCACUGAUCACUGUGGGAAUUCAGAUACUCAUCUGUAACACGCUUAUGUCCAUCUUUAGAUCUAGUCAAGAGUCCGAUUUCUAUUUAUUGGGACUACCACCCAAAGCAGAAUGAGGAUGAUGUAACCAAGCCCAGUGACUUCUAGAUACCACUAACUCUAGAUCCUGAAUUCCAGCAGAAUGGCUGACAUCAACUGGUCUGAAGACCCCCAUCAAGGAACCGACUCAGUGCUGGAAUGCAGUUUCUUCAUCUCCCUAUCCCUGACUUCACCUCCCACUUCUCAGCCAAUCAGUGAUCACCACACUUUAGGCCAUCACCUGUGUCCAGACCCCUUAAAGACCCUGUCCACAAACCUCUUGAUAAGGCAUAUUUGAGGUUUCCUCUUAUCUCCUCAUUUGGUUGCCCUACAAGUAUUAAACUCUUUCUCUGCAGCAA